GAUGAACGCUGGCGGCGUGCUUAACACAUGCAAGUCGAGCGAAGCACUUAAGUUUGAUUCUUCGGAUGAAGACUUUUGUGACUGAGCGGCGGACGGGUGAGUAACGCGUGGGUAACCUGCCUCAUACAGGGGGAUAACAGUUAGAAAUGACUGCUAAUACCGCAUAAGACCGCGGUACCGCAUGGUACAGUGGUAAAAACUCCGGUGGUAUGAGAUGGACCCGCGUCUGAUUAAGUAGUUGGUGGGGUAACGGCCUACCAAGCCGACGAUCAGUAGCCGACCUGAGAGGGUGACCGGCCACAUUGGGACUGAGACACGGCCCAGACUCCUACGGGAGGCAGCAGUGGGGAAUAUUGCACAAUGGAGGAAACUCUGAUGCAGCGACGCCGCGUGAAGGAUGAAGUAUUUCGGUAUGUAAACUUCUAUCAGCAGGGAAGAAAAUGACGGU
rnacentral:rRNA from 1 species